GUCCAAAAUGUCUGACUCCCAGAGACCACGGUAUCUUCCACUGUGGCUCCUUUACAGGGUGGAGGAAUUGUGCAACAAAGCCACUCCGCAGCUGCUAACAAAACAGAUGUGGCCACCAGCAUCAGUACUGCUAUAGCUGUUCCAGGGGGGUCGGGCACAAGGAGCACCGCUGCGGCGGUUAGUGGAGGGAAUGUGAUGGCGUUAGAAACCACAUCUACAGAGAAAGCAACAGGGGGACAAUAUCCGUUAAGGAGGAUCCACGCUCUAAACUAAUGUAUUAUCUUCUGUGCAUCUCCGGCGUUUUUGGUGAAUUUUACAACAUAUGUAAGGGAAUUGUGAAAGCUGACUCAACUUCCGAAAUUGAUUGUCUUCUUGAAGCGGACAAAUUCAAUCUUCUUACGGUGGAACAAUGCGACAAAGUAUUAAUACUUUGUAAUGUGUUGCGUCCAAACUUGUUCAUUGGCAAGUGUAUCUUCCAGAAUUCACAAAAGUGUGGAAAAUCUUUAAACAAAUUUUACAAAAUAGAGGAAACAGAAAAAUCUCUUGCCAUUCAGAAUGAAGUGGUAUUACGAGGGGUGAAGCGACAGGUUUCAUAUAUCAUGUAUUACAAGCAAUCUUAUUUUGAGGAAUAAUAUUUUGAGCCUAUGAGACUUUUGGAGCAUCGAUUAAGAGCAAUCAGAAAGGGAAAACACUUGGAAACGUGCACAGAAAACAACAAGGUUCACCUGUUAACUAUUAUUUUUCCGUUCUGGGUCGUAGUUUGGGUCGCCAUGUGUAUCAACGAGAGUAAAUCGAGUGACAAUGAACCAUUACAAACAGUACCAUAGUACUGAAAUACCAUCUGUCCGACUACUCAAGGGACGCAACCGUAAACUAGCAAAGAACGGUGUCAAAUCUUUCUUUAUAUCAGUGUACUAAACCUUGUUCUUUCGUGGGACAAAUUUGAUAUGUCUGGUAGUUUUAUUUAAAUGAUCAUUGAUCAUGAGUAUGGAUUUUUUUGUAUCAUUUGAUAUGAAUGUAUGAACAAAAUAUGAUAUAUUGGAAGCAUAUUAUGAUUUAACAUAUAUUUGAAUUGCUAAACACUUUUUAGGUACAGAAUCAAAGCUUUUGUUAACCUUCUCGAUUUUUAUAGAUCUAAUUUUUGACUCAGAUUAUACCAAUGAAUUUUAUUAUAUAAGUUUGUUUUGCAUGUUUGUUCAAAUGAUAAUAAUGAUCAUAUAAUAAUAAUGGUAAUUAAAUUACAAUACUUU
rnacentral:misc_RNA from 1 species